rnacentral:rRNA from 1 species
UUGGAUGGCAUCAUUUGAUAGUUAAAACUGAGGUGGUAUAGGAUGGGCAUGCGUCUGAUUAGUUAGUUGCGGGGUAAUGGCCCACCAAGACGAUGAUCAGUAGGGGUUCUGAGAGGAAGAUCCCCCACACUGGCACUGAGAUACGGGCCAGACUCCUACGGGAGGCAGCAGUAGGGAAUAUUGGUCAAUGGAUGCAAGUCUGAACCAGCCAUGCCGCGUGCAGGAAGAAGGCCUUCUGGGUUGUAAACUGCUUUUGCCAGGGGAUAAAAUUUCCAUGCGUGGAAAACUGAAGGUACCUGGUGAAUAAGCCACGGCUAACUACGUG